UACGUAGGGGGCAAGCGUUGUCCGGAAUCAUUGGGCGUAAAGAGCGUGUAGGCGGCCUUUUAAGUCCUGCGUGAAAUCCUGCGGCUCAACCGCAGACGGUCGUGGGAAACUGGAAGGCUAGAGUGCGGGAGAGGAGAGUGGAAUUCCCGGUGUAGCGGUGAAAUGCGCAGAUAUCGGGAGGAACACCGGUGGCGAAAGCGGUUCUCUGGGCCUUACCUGACGCUGAGGAGCGAAAGCGUGGGGAGCGAACAGG
rnacentral:rRNA from 1 species